rnacentral:misc_RNA from 1 species
AUUUGUAAUUUAAAUUUAAUUUUUAUGAAAGUUAAGUUAUUUUUUUUAUAUGACAGCUAAUUAAAAUUAUUCAAUUUGAAUUUCAUAACUCUAAACCCUAAAACUCACUAUGUAAAUGAGCUAAGCUACUCGUGAGAUGAUUGAGACUCAAUUCACUAAAAAGCUUGGCUUGGCAUGAAAUGAGCCAAGUUUGAGUUUAUGGAUAUUCGGCUCUAGCUCGAAAAAAUUUAGAUGAACGAAGCCUGGGCUCUUCACUGCUCAGCUCAGGUCAGUUCAUUUACACCCUUACUAAUAGCUUUGUUUAUUUUGCCACAAUUGUUUGGUUGCAAAUAAAAAUAUAAGUAGUGUUAUAUAAUGAUAAUUUUUAUUUUAA